CUGAAUUCCUCGGAGCUGUGGAUUUGGAGUUGGGGGCAGACUGGACGGGAGGUCAGCUGACCACCCAGAACAAGAUCUUGUGAGGACUACCUGAUGAACCAGCGCUCAUCUCUGAGCACGGUCAGCGGGUCUGGGAAGACCGUCUAUUCUCCUGGAGUUGAACAAGCGCUCUUAGAGCAAUUUGGUCAGGAGAACAUGGUGCUGUGACUCUGGGUGUUUUCUGCCAGCAUGUCAAGGAAGAUUUGAUCCCUCUUCUUAUCAAAGAGAGAAUAGUUUUGGAGUAAGAGGGACAAAAA